rnacentral:rRNA from 1 species
CCUACGGGAGGCAGCAGUGAGGGAUAUUGGUCAAUGGGGGAAACCCUGAUGCAGCAACGCCGCGUGAGUGAAGAAGUAUUUCGGUAUGUAAAGCUCUAUCAGCAGGGAAGAAGAAAGACGGUACCUGACUAAGAAGCCCCGGCUAACUACGUGCCAGCAGCCGCGGUAAUAGGUAGGGGGCUAGCGUUAUCCGGAUUUACUGGGUGUAAAGGGAGCGUAGACGGCAGAGCAAGUCUGAAGUGAAAGCCCGCGGCGCAACUGCGGGACUGCUUUGGAAACUGGCCGGCUAGAGUGCUGGAGAGGUAGGCGGAAUUCCUGGUGUAGCGGUGAAAUGCGUAGAUAUUAGGAGGAACACCAGUGGCGAAGGCGGCUUACUGGACAGUAACUGACGUUGAGGCUCGAAAGCGUGGGGAGCAAACAGGAUUAGAUACCCCAGUAGUC